UCACUCCAUGAUGAUGUCACAGGUUCAAUUACAAAAAAAUUGUACCUGUGACAUCAUCAUGUAGUGA
rnacentral:miRNA from 1 species